ACUUUUAAAGGAUAACAGCUAUCCGUUGGUCUUAGGAACCAAAAAAUUGGUGCGACUCCAAAUAAAAGUA
rnacentral:tRNA from 1 species